ACUCCUACGGGAGGCAGCAGUGGGGAAUAUUGCACAAUGGGCGCAAGCCUGAUGCAGCCAUGCCGCGUGUAUGAAGAAGGCCUUCGGGUUGUAAAGUACUUUCAGCAGUGAGGAAGGUGGGUAUGUUAAUAGCAUACUCAUUUGACGUUAGCUGCAGAAGAAGCACCGGCUAACUCCGUGCCAGCAGCCGCGGUAAUACGGAGGGGUGCGAGCGUUAAUCGGAAUUACUGGGCGUAAAGCGCAUGCAGGUGGUUUGUUAAGUCAGAUGUGAAAGCCCGGGGCUCAACCUCGGAAUUGCAUUUGAAACUGGCAAACUAGAGUACUGUAGAGGGGGUAGAAUUUCAGGUGUAGCGGUGAAAUGCGUAGAGAUCUGAAGGAAUACCGGUGGCGAAGGCGGCCCCCUGGACAGAUACUGACACUCAGAUGCGAAAGCGUGGGGAGCAAACAGGAUUAGAUACCCUGGUA
rnacentral:rRNA from 1 species